AUACACAGAAAUGGGGACUGCGAGCAGAAGCAACAUUGCUCGCCAUCUGCAAACCAAUCUCAUUCUAUUUUGUGUCGGUGCUGUGGGCGCCUGUACUCUCUCUGUCACACAACCGUGGUACCUAGAAGUGGACUACACUCAUGAGGCUGUCACCAUAAAGUGUACCUUCUCCGCAACCGGAUGCCCUUCUGAGCAACCAACAUGCCUGUGGUUUCGCUACGGUGCUCACCAGCCUGAGAACCUGUGCUUGGACGGGUGCAAAAGUGAGGCAGACAAGUUCACAGUGAGGGAGGCCCUCAAAGAAAACCAAGUUUCCCUCACUGUAAACAGAGUGACUUCAAAUGACAGUGCAGUUUACAUCUGUGGAAUAGCAUUCCCCAGUGUGCCGGAAGCGAGAGCUAAACAGACGGGAGGAGGGACCACACUGGUGGUAAGAGGUCAGUCAGCGAGGCUUUAUUUCAGUGCAUCAUUGCAUCUUGUUCAGGCCUGUAAAAUCAUUACCUCACUCACAUGUAGAAAUCAGGAGAUAAAUUUGCUAAGUUAAUACCCUAGCCAGUGAUGGGUGUGAUCUGAACACAAGUCACCAUGAGGUUUGGACUAAAGAACUACUCCAACUGGCUGGGCGUGGUGGCUCACACCUGUAAUCCCGCACUUUGAGGCUGAGGUGGACGAAUCACUUGAGGUCAGGAGUUCAAGACUAGCCUGGCCAACAUGGUGAAACCCCAUCUCUACUCAAAAUACAAAAAUUAGCCGAGCAUGGUGGCAUGCACCUGUAGUCCCAGCUGCUUGGGAGGUUGAGGCAGGAGAAUCGCUUGUAACCCAGGAGGCGAAGGUUGCAGUGAGCCGAGAUCGCACUACUGCACUCCAGUCUGGGCAACAAAGCAAGACUCCAUCUCAGAAAAACAAAAGAACUACUCCAAUCCAUCUCGAACAUCCACUAACACAAAGUCAGUGAUUUGCUGGGUGCUCUAUUCUCCCUACAUGGUGACGUUUAACCAACCAUGUUCACCUCUUUUGUAUAUUACAGUGAUUUAGUGUAAAGUACCAUGUCCAAAGGGAACCUUGUGGUGAGUAACUAUCAGCUUUCUCAGGAACUAGUCUGGUAAUGCACCACCUAGAACAAAGCACUAGAGAAGUGUAAAAGAUCAAUAAAUUGGACCCACAGAAACUAUGCAACAUGGAG
rnacentral:sRNA from 1 species